rnacentral:rRNA from 1 species
GCUAGCUUAUAACGAGUCUGCAUAUCGUAUGCUGUUACUGUAUGCUUGCGUCGCGUGAAUGAAUGGCGAACGGGUGAGUAACACGUGAGUAACCUGCCCCUGACUUCGGGAUAAGCCCGGGAAACUGGGUCUAAUACCGGAUACGACUGCCGGACGCAUGUCUGGUGGUGGAAAGUUUUUUCGGUUGGGGAUGGGCUCGCGGCCUAUCAGUUUGUUGGUGAGGUAAUGGCUCACCAAGACGACGACGGGUAGCCGGCCUGAGAGGGCGACCGGCCACACUGGGACUGAGACACGGCCCAGACUCCUACGGGAGGCAGCAGUGGGGAAUAUUGCACAAUGGGGGAAACCCUGAUGCAGCGACGCAGCGUGCGGGAUGACGGCCUUCGGGUUGUAAACCGCUUUCAGCAGGGAAGAAGCGCAAGUGACGGUACCUGCAGAAGAAGUACCGGCUAACUACGUGCCAGCAGCCGCGGUAAUACGUAGGGUACGAGCGUUGUCCGGAAUUAUUGGGCGUAAAGAGCUCGUAGGUGGUUGGUCACGUCUGCUGUGGAAACGCAUCGCUUAACGUUGCGCGUGCAGUGGGUACGGGCUGACUAGAGUGCAGUAUGGGAGUCUGGAAUUUCUGGUGUAUCGGUGAAAUGCGCAGUUAUCAGGAGGAAAACCGGUGGCUAAGGCGGGACUCUGGGCUGUAACUGACACUGAGGACCUAAUUCAUGGGGAGCGAACAGGAUUAGAUCCCUGGUAGUCCAUGCCGUAAACGUUUGGGCACUAGGUGUGGGGGGGUUUUCACGUUCUCCGCGUCGUAACUAAUUCAUUAAGUGCCCCGCCUGGGGAGUACAGUCGUAUGGGUUAAAAUUCAAUGGAAUUUAACUGUGUGUCUU